CCAAGACUAUGAUGUGUAGCCGGGCUGAGAGGUUGAACGGCCACAUUGGGACUGAGACACGGCCCAAACUCCUACGGGAGGCAGCAGUAGGGAAUUUUCGGCAAUGGAGGAAACUCUGACCGAGCAACGCCGCGUGAACGAUGAAGUAUUUCGGUACGUAAAGUUCUUUUAUUAGGGAAGAAUAAAUGAUGGAAAAAUCAUUCUGACGGUACCUAAUGAAUAAGCCCCGGCUAACUAUGUGCCAGCAGCCGCGGUAAUACAUAGGGGGCAAGCGUUAUCCGGAAUUAUUGGGCGUAAAGGGUGCGUAGGCGGUUAAAUAAGUUUAUGGUCUAAGUGCAAUGCUUAACAUUGUGAUGCUAUAAAAACUGUUUAGCUAGAGUAAGAUAGAGGCAAGUGGAAUUCCAUGUGUAGUGGUAAAAUGCGUAAAUAUAUGGAGGAACACCAGUAGCGAAGGCGGCUUGCUGGGUCUUUACUGACGCUGAGGCACGAAAGCGUGGGGAGCAAACAGGAUUAGAUACCCUGGUAGUCCACGCCGUGAACGAUGAGUACUAAAUGUUGGGUAAAACCAGUGUUGAAGUUAACACAUUAAGUACUCCGCCUGAGUAGUACGUACGCAAGUAUGAAACUUAAAGGAAUUGACGGGACUCCGCACAAGCGGUGGAUCAUGUUGUUUAAUUCGAAGGUACCCGAAAAACCUCACCAGGUCUUGACAUGCUUCUGCAAAGCUGUAGAAACACAGUGGAGGUUAUCAGUUGCACAGGUGGUGCAU
rnacentral:rRNA from 1 species